GCAUGGGGAAGACCUGAUUGUGACUCCUUUUGCUCAGGUUCUUGCCAGUCUUCGCACAGUGAGGAACAACUUCACCACCUUGACCAGUGUACAAUGCACCUCCAAUAAGAGGUCACCAGCCGCCCCACAGCCUCCUGUAACCAGAGUCUGUCUGUCAGGUGAG